GUCGCGCAUCAUUGUUUAACGCGUAUAAAUACUGAAAAUAAAAAAGAUUGAUUGCUCUUUAGAUUUACAAUCCUUGUUUCGGCUGGAAGAAAUAUUUUUUACAAGUGUGAUAUUAUUUAUUAAGAUUGUACAUGAAGACAAAAAUGGAGAAACUUGUAAUUGCUUUGUUUGGAAUUGUAUUUCUUUCGGUAUUGUCAGAUGCCCAGGACAUCGGUCGCAUACGGAGACUAAUGUUACUGCGGCAAAGAGAACUAGCGCUCCGCCGAGCUUUCCCAUUUGGAGUAAGAGGAAUAGGGGGACCAGGCAUUCCACCUCCUGUUGCAGCAAGACUUGCGCUUAUUCAAAGACAAAGAGGCGGAAGUGGCAACAUAUUUGGUCAACAGCCAACCCAAGUUUUUCCAAAUGUUCCUGAUGUUGUCCAGAUACCUUCUGUGACUCCAACUGCGCAAGGACAACCCGGUGGUGGCCAGACCGGACUGACCCAGGCAGGUGCAGGCCAGAUGGGCGGUCAAAUGAAUGUUCAAACAGGUGGUCAAGCGGGUGGUCAGAUAGGUGCUGGACAGUUUGGAGGACAAGCAACAGGAUCUAUGGGAGGCUCUAUGACCGGAACAAUGGGAGGGCCAACUGGAGGGCCAAUGGGAGGUCCAGUUUCUGGACCGAUAGGAGGAACAAUGGGAGGGCCAAUGGGAGGUCCAAUAUCUGGGCCGAUGGGCGGAUCAAUGGGAGGGCCAAUGGGAGGUCCAGUAUCUGGGCAGAUGGGCGGAUCAAUGGGAGGGCCAAUGGGAGGUCCGAGUAUCUGGGCCGAUGGGCGGAUCAAUGGGAGGGCCAAUGGGAGGUCGAGUAUCUGGGCCGAUGGGCGGAUCAAUGGGAGGGCCAAUGGGAGGUCGAGUAUCUGGACCGAUGCGCGGAUCAAUGGGUGGACCAAUGGGAGGACCAAUAUCUGGGCCGAUAGGAGGAACUAUGGGCAGACCAAUGGGAGGAUCUGCAGCAGGCCAGUUUGGAGGGCAGAUGGGAGGUCCGUUUGGACGUCAAGUUAGUGGUCCGUUUGGAGGCCGGAUGACAGGUCCAACCUUCUCUUUUGGCCAGCCAUCGAGUGGUCAGUUUUCAGCUGGAACCCAGACCCAAGGUGGUCAAGGUUCCGCAAUAUUCCCCUCACAAGCCACACAAGGCCCCAUCAUAAGACAGCGUGGUCCAGGUUUCACCCCUGACAGCAGUUUUUCUACAGGUUUAGAUUUAAGUGGAUCAUCUACUGUGGUUCCGGGGUUCCCAAACGGACC
rnacentral:misc_RNA from 1 species